rnacentral:rRNA from 1 species
UCAGGCCUAACACAUGCAAGUCGAACGCGAAAGCCCCGCAAGGGGUAAGUAGAGUGGCAAACGGGUGAGUAACACGUGGGUGACCUGCCUUCGAGUGGGGGAUAACGUCCCGAAAGGGACGCUAAUACCGCAUGACAUCCCGCCUUUGGAAAGGCGGAGAUCAAAGCCGGGGAUCGCAAGACCUGGCGCUUGAAGAGGGGCCCGCGCCUGAUUAGCUAGUUGGUAGGGUAACGGCCUACCAAGGCGACGAUCAGUAUCCGGCCUGAGAGGGCGGACGGACACACUGGGACUGAGACACGGCCCAGACUCCUACGGGAGGCAGCAGUGGGGAAUUGUUCGCAAUGGGCGCAAGCCUG